rnacentral:rRNA from 1 species
AGAGCGUCCCAAGCGUUGUUCGGAUUCACUGGGCGUAAAGGGUGCGCAGGUGGUCGGGUAAGUCUGAUGUGAAAUCCCGCAGCUUAACUGCGGAAUGGCAUUGGAUACUAUUCGGCUAGAGGGUUGGAGGGGGGACUGGAAUUCUCGGUGUAGCAGUGAAAUGCGUAGAUAUCGAGAGGAACACCAGUGGCGAAGGCGAGUCCCUGGACAACUCCUGACGCUGAGGCACGAAAGCUAGGGGAGCAAACAGGAUUAGAUACCCUGGUAGUCCUAGCCGUAAACGGUGCACGUUUGCUGUAAGAGGAAUCGACCCCUUUUGUGGCGAAGCUAACGCGUUAAACGUGCCGCCUGGGGAGUACGGUCGCAAGAUUA